rnacentral:lncRNA from 1 species
AUUCUUCUAUAAUAUCAAUUAAGGUGCUUUCUUUACUACUUUCAUCAGUUGAAUAUGCAGUGUUGUUUGUCGCUUUUAAUUCAGUGAAUAUUUAAAUAGUGCUGAGCUAUGGGCAUUCUCUCAUGCAUCUGUUAUUAGCAGGGGCAUACAUGUGUAGAACAGUCAUAUGAAACCUUAUAUAAGGCAUGCUCCCUGGUGGAACAGUAAGGUCUGAGACCUCAUCAGAAAUGCUGAAUCUCUGGCUACACCAAGAUCUCCCAGUGAUUCAUACACAGGGUAAAAUUGAGAAGUUGCUAGCUAUUAUCAAAGUCUGUGAAGACAGUACAAUUUUUUAUUCAUUUCCUUCUCUUUUCGCUUCCACAACUAUGAAUGUUUCUCAAAUAUUGGUUUUCUGAUUAUUUGUUUGUUCAUUCAUUUCUCCUUGAACAUUCAUUUAACUAUGCAAAAUACCGAGCAAUUGAGGUUGUAAAAAGGUAAAUGUUAAGUGAGUUAAGAUAGACCACCUCAGUUGGUUAAUCUAACAUAUGCAAAUGAAAUCUUAGACUUUAACUUGUUUUCACUUGGAUUUACAAUCAACAUAAUAGUUAGCAGUGCAAAACUUAGAGACAAGAUUCUGAUGUAAGCGAGUGAAUAGAAAUAGCCUGCAGUGCUUCCCUAUUAUUUCUUCAUCAGGACGUAUCUGAAGUUCAGAGGUCCAAGAUGAUUAGAAAGUAUGAGGAACACACCAAGUGAGGAAAGAAAAGAAACAGUGGGUAUAAAGUCUUUCAUACCAUUAGGCUGUUGGGGUGGGGGGUUUGCUUGUGCCCACAGUUGUGUCCAUCACCCUAUGAGGCCAUUCCUCCAACACCACAAUUAUAUUCUUCCCAGUGACUUUGGUAUGCCAUAACAUAUACCAGGAUUUGAAGAAGCUCAGAGUCUAAUUCUAUUUUUCUCUCACUCUGCCAUGUCUCUCAGAAAGUCUUCACUUUUUAGUUGUAUCUGUUACUUCUAUGCUGGUGAUUUUCAGAUCUCCAGCCUUAAACUCAAUCCCAUGGUCUAGAAUUCAUAUAAUCAUUUUUGCCUAAAACUCAAACAAGUUCAUCACCUAUUCAUUAGGUGAUGUACACCUUAAUCCCACCUUUUCAAUCCAGACCAACUUUUCCACUAAACCUUGAACACACCUUUGACUCUAAUACUAAUUUAUGCCCCAUGCUGAAUCAGUCACCAGUAGCUUGUCAUGUCUCUGUCCAAUGUCACUGUGAUUCAUUCCUUCACCUGUACCAGCAAUUUAUCACUGUCCCUUAUAAAUUCAUACCCUUGUCAUUUCAUUACCAACCACUGAAGUAGCCUCCAAUAGGUUUUAGAUGCAUGUGUUUUCUUGUCUCUAAUUAUUCUUCAUGCCAGUUUAUUGAAACCUCCCCCUUUCACUAUCAUUUUCAAAAUAGACAUGGCCUUUAAGUUGAAAGGAAAAUUUUUAAAUUCUCCUCUUCAAAUUCCUCAUUAUUCAGAAGAGGCAAUUGAGGCUCAGUGAGGUUAAAUAAGUCAUGUGGCUAGUUGACAAAGCUAAAAGACACAUGCCUUCUGACUGAUUUACAGCUUAUUGUAUUUUUUAAAGAAAAAGAUUCAUUAUAAACUGCUCAGACAUUCAAGAAAACAUCGUGAACAAAUGACUCAGUUUAAAAAAUAAUUUUGUUUUUAUUUCACUAAUGCCUGUAAAUAAUUAUGGUAGACUAAAACUGAAUACUAUUCUGUGGAUUAUCAGAUUUGUCAUAGCUUAGUGAGUAGUGAAAUAUGAUGAGAAAGGAGAUAUUGUUCUAUAGGUGGACGGUAAGUAUAGAAUAGGAAUUGAGAAUUCAUUUAGACACUUCAUAGCUUUUAGAAACUCAUUGUAUUUCUAAAUUUCAGAGUUCCCAUCUUGGCUCGGAGGGCUAAGAACCCAACAGAAUGUCCAUGAGGAUGUGGGUUCGAUCCCUGGUCUUGUUCAGUGGGUUAAGGAUUGAAUGUUGCCACAAGCUGAGACAUAGGUCUCAGAUGCGGCUCCAAUCUGGCAUUGUUGUGGCUGUGAUGUAGGCAGGCAGCUGCAUCUCUGAUUCUACUCCUAGCCAGGGAAAUUCCCUAUUCCACAGGUAUAAAAAGAAAAAUAAAUAAGUAAAUUUCAUUUUAUCUAUUAAAUCAAAUUUCAUACUUUGGGUAGUUGUGAAGAUUAGAUGUGUGUAAAUUUUUAAAUACUAAACAACACAAAGUACCAUUUUGCGUGUGACUAUUGAAUGUUAUACAUAUGGAAGCAGACAGCAAAGACUCAUUUGGGGCUCUGGUUAACAAAAGUGUUAAAAAAAAUAAAAAAGAUUUAGAAAAGUUCAGAGCAAAGACACUAUGAGAACAUUCCCUAAUGGGUUAAAAUGCAGAGGAACAAUUGCUGUGUUUUUAAUUGGUAUUAAUAUAAAUGAUAAAGGUUUUCAUUUCUUAACAAAAGAAGAGGACCUAUAGAAUGGCAGUCUUUAACGUUAUUAUCAAAAUAUGAUUAGUCCCUUUUGAACUAUGGCAUGUAUACUAAAUGCACUUUUUUUAGCUCAUGGACAAAAAACAGAAAUGGAAAUAGAAUGGAAAUUAAAUUGACAUCCAUAAAAGCUAUAAGAUCACAAUAAAAAGUAUGAUAUAGAAGUGAAUAGUCUAGAUUAAGUUAGAGACACCAUCUUGAAAUCCAAACUUAAGAAGUUCAGAAAACCUUUUAUAAGCUAACUUCCAACAGCAAUGAGAAUCUAAACAUCUAAGUUGAAAUGUCCUUUUUCUACAUAUAAGAUCAAAAAUAAAAGUGAAUUAACUCAUAGCAGUAUAGUUAUAAUUAGAGAAAAGACAGUAAUAGAAAGAUGAGAAGAAAAUAUAAGAUUGUCUUAGUUCUAGUAUAUCUAGUGCUUCCAUUUUGUUUUUUCAUUUUGAAAUGAUUUAACAUUACUUAUCUUUAAUACACUUAAUACUAGCAUAGAAAGAAUCAUUCAUACAUUGCUUCUUGUUAUUAAGAAUUUUAAUAUGAUAGUGAACUUGGUUGUCUACUACAUCUUUCACUAUCUCAUUUACUUUUUCCAUUUUGUUAAAGACUAGAACAUUUUAAUGGUCUAAUAGUCUAAUAGGUAGUUACUAUUCACACACAUUUAUAAACUCUCCCUCAAAGAUUCACUUUCCCUAUCGUGUACGUUAAAUGUUGUCAUUGUUUUAUUAAUAGUAUUAAGGUAUCUCAUUCUGUUUACAUUGGAAUAGUUGUGUUUUAUGUCAUUCACGAGGUCAAACAUAAAUGACUCACAUACUGUAAAUUACAAAGUAAUCAAUGUCUGGGAAACUGGAGACUUACAAGAAUUUAUUUCUUCCUUGAAAAAGUAGCUGCAGUCAUUUCAAAUGAUCUAAGACUUACUGAAUUUUUGUUUAUAAAAUUAAAUGUAAGCAGUUCUAUUCAAUAUAAGAGCAUAGGUCAUUGUCAGUAAAUUAUAAUUUGACACUACAGUUGAUACUUAUGUAAUUUCUUUGGGGUGAAAUAUGUGACUAUUCUCUGUAAGAUUAAAACUUAC